AGGGUGAUAGUUAAGCAUAACAUUUGAUUUGCAUUCAAAAAGUAUUGAUACGUCAAUUUACCUUU
rnacentral:tRNA from 1 species